CCGUUGCCGGCGACCGGCGCACGGGUGAGUAACACGUAUGCAACCUGCCCGUGGCAGGGGGAUAAGCGGGGGAAACCCCGUCUAAUACCGCGUGACGCGGCCUAGGGACAUCCCAAGGCCGCCAAAGGGAGCAAUCCCGGCCACGGAUGGGCAUGCGGCGCAUUAGCUAGUCGGCGGGGUAACGGCCCACCGAGGCGACGAUGCGUAGGGGUUCUGAGAGGAAGGCCCCCCACACUGGUACUGAGACACGGACCAGACUCCUACGGAAGGCAGCAG
rnacentral:rRNA from 1 species